rnacentral:lncRNA from 1 species
UUUACUAUUAUGCUUAUAAUUAUAAUUAAGAGAACAAAAGAAACCAUAGCUACUUUUAUGGGGAAGGAAUAAUUAUAAGCUAAAAUCAGGGACAAUCAGGUAUGUAAGUAGUACAGCUAUACCAGUUUUUAUGAUAGGUUUCUAUCUGUACCUGUUAAAAAUUUUUAACACCCAUCUCUGAGAACACCUUAUGUCAUGCAUACUAUAAUUAUGAAUGCAAGUUUCUCUGAGACCCAAAUAAAAACAAGAAGUCUUAACAGGAGGAAAAAAAGAAAAAGAUGAAGGGCAGGAAGGAAAUGGGACAGAAUCUGGUUAUUCUGGUGGAGGUAGAUUCUCCAUUGAGGUAGGUCUUUCUUUUCCCUUCUAUGUGUGUGUUUAUGUCUGUCUGUCUGUCUACACACACACUUCAUUCUGAAGUAACAGGUGUGAUUUCAACUGUUUUGAAAUCUUUACAUUUUUAAGGUAUUCAGUUAGCCUUUCAAAACAUUAAACUCGUAGAUGCCCUAUAAAAAAAAACAGAGCUUGGGCUGGGGUUAUGGCUUAGCAAUAGAGCACUCUCCUCGGAUGUGCGAGGUCCUGGGUUUGAUCCUCAGCACCACAUAAAAAUAAAUAGAAAAAAUAAAGAUUAUGUUCAACUUCCACUAAAAAAUAAAUAUUAAAAACAAAACAGAGCUCACUAGACUAACCUGUAUGUAUAUGUCCAUUUAUCUAGAGAGAACUGUCCAUACCAAAUUAUUUUUAAAGAAUGUUGAGGGGUUUUGUUUGUUUGUUUGUUUGUUUUUUGAGGGUGGGAAUACCAGAGAUUGAAAGCAGAGGCACUUAACUACUGAGCCACAUUCCCAGCCCUUUUUUAUUUUUAUUUUGAGAUAGGAUCUUACUAAGUUGUUUUGGUCCAUGCUAAAUUGCUGAGGCUGGCUCUGAACUUGAUCCUCCUGCCUUAGCCUCCAUCCCAAGCCUCUGGGAAUACAGGUGUGCACACCACAUCCAGCAAGAAUGCUAAUUUUAUAUUUAUUUAGUAGAGAUAAAUUCCAAUGAUAAAAUUCAGGAGCUUGUGGUUUCUGUUUAUUUUCAUGAUUAUAUUAUGCCUAGAGCAACAUCAGUUUGCCAUAAAAGAUCUGUUUCACCUUGUCUUAGAAUGAUGUAAAAAGUCUUCAGUAUGAACUGUUUACAUUGUUUAUUCAGAAAAAUCUUUAAAAUUUUGGAAUUGAAGAUAUUGUAAGGCACCAAAUCUAGAAAUCCUUUUGAUUAGCAGUGUAAAUCAAUUUUCCCACUUGUUAGAUUUAUUGUAAGAGCAGAUAUUUGUCUGAAAUUCAGUCAAAAAAAUGGAAGUAUAAUAAUUUACUAAAAGAAGGAUCCUUGCUGGAUUGUGGGUCAGCGGUAGAGCACUCGCCUAGCAUGUACAAGAUGCCGAGUUCGAUCCUCAGUAACACAUAAAAAUAAAAUAGGGGUAUUGUGUUCAACUAAAACUAAAAAAAAAAAAAAAUGUGUAUGUAUGUGUGUGUGAUUAUAUAAAUUAAUCCAUUCUACCAAAGAUUGUGACUUACCCAUUUUAUUCAUAAUCAUCUUGAUAGUUUAAAAUGAGAAGGGAUUCAUAUCAUCCUAAGCAGGGAUACCUAAGUGGAAAGGGAAGAAAGAAUUUGUGUUUAAAGGAUGCUUUUAAAAGUGUUCCCUUAUGAUUAAAAAAAACUCCAGGAUCCAGGAUCUCAAAUUGGAAUGGGAGAGGGGAGCUAAGUCCUAUAUUCUGACUAUGAACACUUCCUACUACUUGGUUCUGUGGCCAAGCCCUUUCUUUAAGUGAUAGCCCCUAAAUCAUACAAAGAUAAAUAAAAAAUCAAAUUUUGCAUAUUUAAUAAAGCAUUUAGGAAUUUAACUGUAUGAAAUUUGACAUAUAGUGUGUGAGAACUGAGGCACUCUUGCACAUGUUAAAUACUUGUCUCAGACUCCUUUCUUCUUCUGUUCCCAUUUAGUAAAUUCAGGAUGUGCCCAGACAUGUGAUAAGCUCCCUCAGUCAAUAUUAUACAAACCAGCACUAGUGUAUUUAUCAGACUACACAAUUAGAUUCCUGGCUUUGCUAUUCCUUAGCUGAGUAUAUGAAUUUGGAGAAGUUAUUUAAUCUCAUUGGAUAGUUGUGCAGAUUAAGUGAAAUAAUCCAGUAAAGCUCUAGCCAAGUAACUGGCUUAGAAGUGUUCAUUAAAUGGUUGUGAUAAUGACAGAAAUUUUGAGACAGACCCUUACCAUGUUGCUCAGGCUGAUUUCAAACUUGUGUGCAGAGGUGAUCCUCCCAUUUCAGCACCCCAGGUAACUGGGGCUACAGGGUGUCUUUUCCUAAUAUCUCUUUAAGAUAGUGAAAUGAGACAUAAAGUUCAUUUAUUGUCUGUCUUCAAACAACUAAUACAUACUUCAAACAACUAAUUACAUCUUUUUAGAAUGCAUGGAGGGCUAACUAUAAUAACACUUUAGAGUAAAUGGGAAAAACCUCUUUUUGAUAGAUUAUGGUUUCUUUCUUCAACAUAUUUAAAUAUAGUUUUUCCAGGUCAAUUCUGAAAAACCACAUACCGAAAGAAGGGUCAGGGACAAAAACUGUUGAGCUUAUGAAUAGCAUUCCUUUAAAAACCUUUGAAGAUCAUCUUGGAACCUUUGUUUAAAUAUCAUUAUAUAGAUUCUCACAUGCUGUCCACAUUCAGUCUAGCUUUAUAAUUGUAUAAAGGCAAACUUUUGUUCACACGGGGGACUCUUUUGAUUAAUCAAAGCCCAACAAAAAUGUGUUUAAGAUCCAAAAACAAUAAAAACAUGACUUUUCUAAAAAGAAGAUCUACUAUAAAGUGGUUUUAACAAAAAAAUGAUUUUGCAUGUCAGCAAAUCAACUACAGCUUAGUAUGAUGAAGCAUCAAAAUGUCAGAAGCUUGAGUGCUUUCUCUUCUGAAUGUAAGUCAGAGGGUAACAGGUAAGCACCUGAAGGUUUGGGGAUGUUACGAAGUAAAUAAAAGGGACUGAUGGAAUUGGAUAUUUGAAUAUUGUCACUUAAAGCACUGAUCUAAGAAAAACUGUUAAGAAUGUACAUAUUAUAUCUGUAUCUGUUCUAAAGAGAAGUGAUGUGGAUGUUCAUAAGGCAGCUGUGGAUCAUUCAUAAAAAGAACAACUGAGCCAGGUGCAGUGGCACACACCUGUAAUCCCAUCGGUUAGGGAGGCUGAGACAGGAGGAUUGGGAGUUCAAGCCAGCCUUAGCAAAAAGUAAGGUGCUAAGAAACUCAGUGAGACCCUGUCUCUAAAUAAAAUACAACAUAGGGCUGGGGAUGUGGCUCAGUGGUCGAGUGCCCCUGGUUCAAUCCAUGGUACACCCCCCGCCAAAAAAAAAAAAAAACCCACAGCCAAAAGGGAAAAUUUAUUUGAAAGUAUUCUUUGGCUGCAAGAGGAUCCUGAGUAAACAGUGUAUUUGUACACACCAUCCAUGAACUAUAUGAGGAGAAAAAUCAUUUUAAUUUUCAGGAUGCAGUUGAAGUACAAAUACUAAUACCCUUUUACCUCUUCCACUUCAGAGAGAAAAAAAAAAUUAGCAAAAACCCAUACUUUCGUGUUUAUAAUUUUGAUAUGAAAAAAGCUUAAAGUGGCUAUGACACAAAUCAUCACUCCAAAUUAACACUUUCCUAAGCCAGGUGUGGUGGCACAUCCCUGCAGUCUCAGCAUUGUGUUGGCUGAGGCCUGAGAAUCACAAG